AGGACGAAAAGGCAAACUAUUUGAAAAGAUAGGACGCAAAAUCAUGGACCUCACGGCCUAACAAGGCACAAGGUUGCCAGAUUACCGAA
rnacentral:ncRNA from 1 species